rnacentral:lncRNA from 1 species
GCGAAGUGCUCUGCUCACCGGCGGUGCCGCACUGGUUAAACAGUUUUCGAGUGGGUGGGGAGGGAAUCCCUAGCCCAAAGUGGGGACUACUCUCCGGAUUGAGUGAUAGGGAUGCAAACAACUCUCAGCAUCAAAACAGAGCAGAAAGUUAUUCUGCAGCUAAUCUGUAGCUCUACGAAGUGUUACUGGCGGCAGUACAGGAUUUUUUUUUUAAAUCCUCGUUUUCAGGGAUAACAUCGGAGAGGAUCAGAAGGUGGACACCACUGGAAAAACAGGAAUUUAAAGGACAGGUAUGUCUUAAUAAUUUAUCUUGUAGAAACAACUUAUAUCUUAAAAUAUAAUCAUGCAGUUUAUAU